CAAAUCUAGAGACAUAUGUAGUUAAUCUAAUGCAAUGCCUCUUUAUCUUUUUUUUACAAAAGAUGUUCUGUUGUAUGUUAAUUUGUGAUGAGGGAUUAAUUUCACAUUGGCAAAGAGAAACAAUGCUUCAUAUAUAUCCGUGAAAAGCGAACUAUGUCUCCCAAACCAUCUUUCAAGAAAAGGAAAAUCUACCAAUGUCUCAUUCUUGAAGCCUACUCGAAGGUCCAGACUGAUGUGUAAAAAUAUUCUCUUCAAAUAGUGUGUCUGCAAGAAUGGUACAAGCUUUCGAUUCCUAAUUAGGAGCCUUGAUUAGCACAUUAUAUCGAGGAGUCUCAAUGUCUUGUUAAAUACAAAGAGAUCACUAUUGAAUCAGGGAGAAUGGUUAUUUGACACCUCGAUAGACUCACACAACGAAGUUAAUGUGAACAAAGAUACCCUAAAUCAAGUUGACAUAAAAUCCACAUGGUUGAUACAAAGAUGGCAUGCAGGAGCUAUCACUUUGCAUGCAAAGGGAACAGAGUUUGGAAUUAAUAUCAUUUAAAACAACUUUUAAUCAAACUUUGACGAUCACAAACAUGAUCUAUCUAGGUGAACAGAAAUUUUUUUUGGCAAAGAUACUUGACAACUUCAAAUACAUGAACAAUACUACCUAGAAAGAGACAUAAGCCAAGUUCAAAUCCAUCAGGAACACAUGUAUAUCUUGUAAACACAAAUUCUUCUCAAUAAGCAGAGUUAAUGUAGAGUUUUAGUUAUGGACAUGCAAGAUACAGUAUUGAGAAAAUACCCCUAAUUAAGAUUUCCAGAGUUUAGAGAAAGAAAGAGGAAAAACCAUAAGGCAAAUAAAUUUCAUCUCAAAAAUGGAUAUAUUCGCUUCGAUCUGAUCUAGAACUUAUUUUAUCAAUAUGAUCGACAAAAUUGGGAAAACAUUCAAAGAUAACUAUAAAUGGGAACUCGAGGCUUCUAAGCUACAAAUUUUUUUUAGAUCGAAAAAAUGACAAGAAUUUUAGGAAAAAUAAAAAACCCUAAUUUGGAUAUCUCAUCAUUUUAUUAGGGAAGACGAUCAUAAAACUGAAUCAAGAGUCAAAAUCACAUUUAUGUUCAAGAAUGGAACUUAGAUCAAAAUUAAAUCAUGAUUGAAAUAUUUUUCUUUAUCUACAAACUUACAGAGUGAUAUUGUAGAAUGCAGCCGAACGGAUCUAUUGGGGAUGAAUAAACAAAUGGGUCCCUUCUCUUGCCUCAAGAGAGACCAAGUUAUAUAUUUCGCUCUCGCCUACUUGGCAGAUACUUCUCCCCUUUUUGUACAUGAUGCUUUUCUCUUUUUUAUAUGGUUUAAAAAAAUGUUACUUGUUGGGCCUUGUAAAUGCAACCUUACUUAACGAGAGGGGUCAAAAGAAGACGAGAUUAAAAAAAAUAUAUUUUGAAACUCGUCUAACGCAAACCGUCAUAUGUCAUAUGGAAUGCAAUUAAUAUGCACGAAAAAAUGACAUACUCAUAUGGUAGGUCAUUACAUUAAUUUAAUGAAAAAGAAAUAUCUCAAUAAUAGUCAUAUGCAAUAGGGAAAGCUAAUAGAUCUAUUCAAGCUUCAAGCUUAGGGUUUAUCUGAUUAGGAAUUUCAUUGGUGUAGGCAUAGCUAUGGUCAUCUUCGUCACCAUUUAACCAUGUUUGUCCUAGCUAUUUGGGAUAGGUCAUUUGUAUUUUAUACCUCCAUUGAGCUCUAUGAAAGACUAUGUCAUUUGUAAUUUUUAAAUUAACUAAAUUUGUUUAAACUAUGACUAACAUUUGUUUGAUUUCUCUCUACCCUUUACAACUUCCACUAUGUGAUUCUUUCAAUUAUAAAAUCUCUUCGUCGUGUUUGAAGAUGUCCAACCCAUUUUAAUCUAUUUACUUUUAUUUUAUUAUCUAUUGGACGGACAUAUGAUUGCUCUUGAGUAAUAAUACUUGUGUAUUCAUUAUUUCUAUAAUAACUUUACAACAUCAAUGAAGCUUGGGGUGUAGAUAUGGCUGUAAUUUUUGCUGAAAUAGUUUAGUUGAGUGAAUGAUCACCGUAAAAGUAUUGUCUGAAUAAUUAGGUCUUUGAUGAUAAUAAACACAGAAAAUUAUAACAAAAGUUGUUUAAAUUCUCUACUCAAUUGCUAAUGCUGAAAGUCAAAGAAGAAUAUUGGAGAAAUGACACUUUUUCCUCUAUUUUUGAGCUCCUUUGGUACACUAAAGCCGCUUCAUCUCUUGUAGGUAGCUAGAGUUCUUCAAAACAUAGAAAUGCUUUGCUGAAAUAGACCAGUUUUUGUGAAUGACAUAAAAGUCUUCUAAAUGCAGAAGCACAACAAUUCGAACAUUGAAGUAUCUUGCUCUUUGAACUUUAUUAGCAGGAUGUGUUUUAGCCUUUUUGGGUUUGUUGAUCGUAGUUGAGGAUUUCAAUCGAGACCAUGAGAUUUGAUUUGUGUUCUUUGGUGGUCAAGGAGAUUUUGGUUGUUAGGCUUUGCUAGCUUUAAAGUAUGCUGGUGACAACAGGUCUUGAUUGAAAGGACUUGAAAUCUCUGAUUUUAGCUUAAACAGAGGUGAAUGCACAUAGUCGAAGGGUCAUGCUAGUUCUAUGCAUUGAAGUACACUUGUGUUGGUCCUUAUUGAUUUUACAAGUUUGAUUUGAAUUCAAACAAAAGAAUUAUCACGUCCGUCUUUUCAGACUCACUAAUGCCCUCAAGGCGAGUCUGGUUCAGGAAUUUUCGACUUAUUGUCAGCUUCAAUUGAAACCAUGAAAAAUGUAGAUGGUUCUUACUCCUACCAAAGUAGACGAAGACCAACAUUGCCCAAGAUGGUUGGUUCUUCAAAAAAUGACUACUUCCAAGAAUGUUAAGGAUUCAAAUCAAGUUGUUUCUAUUACAGGCCAAGCGAACAUGGAGUCUUCGAUUACUCCAUUGCCAAAGAUGGAUGGUUCUUCAAAAAAUGACUUGUUCCAAGAAUGUUAAGGAUGCUAAUCAAGUUGUUUCUAUAACAGGCCAAGCGAACAUGGAGUCAGCUUAUCGUUGUUGAAGAAAAAAGUGUCAAUCAUUUCUGAGACUCAUUUUAUGUUGUUGAGGAUGGGAUUCCAGAUAGUCAGGUGAAGCAGAUAGACAACUUUCCUGAGCUGCAGAAGAGUAUUCGUAUUCAAUUAUAUCGAUUCCAGGGUUUAGGCAGCAACGAGGGUAAUCCGUCUGAGUACAAACAUGAAGGUUCAAGAAGGGUAGAACAGGAUGAUUGAUUAUUUUGGCUGGAGCUUCGGCCAUGUUAUCUUCACCUGUUUGUGCUGUAUUUACAUUGUUUCAUGGUAAUCCAUCUUAACUAGUAAAUAGUUGAGACAAAUAUGAUACUGAGAUAAGCAUGACUUCACUUUGUGACUGAUUUUGUAUUUUUUAUGUUUUCUGUGUAAAUUCGGUUGGUUUUUUA